AAUCUAGAAACUAGUUCCAAUGCUAGCCAAACUAGCCAAAGGUGCAUCUAGCCUAUUUAUCUGUUUGGUGAAUGCCCAGGAACAAUUAUGGGAGAUGGACAAAGAGAUCUGUGGACACUGGAAUUGGAGCUGGCUGGAAAUGAAGUAUAGCAACAGUGUGGCAGCAGCUAUAUAGAAGAUAGAAUGGAAAGGGGAAGAGAACUGAGAUGGAAACUAUUGAAAAGCGUACUGUAAUAG